GCCGCGGUGGUCUAGUGGCUAAGAUACUCGGCUGCUGACCCGCAGGGCGCGGGUUCAAAUCCCGUCUGCGGCG
rnacentral:tRNA from 1 species